AUUGAACGCUGGCGGCAGGCCUAACACAUGCAAGUCGAGCGGAUGAAGGGAGCUUGCUCCUGGAUUCAGCGGCGGACGGGUGAGUAAUGCCUAGGAAUCUGCCUCGUAGUGGGGGAUAACGUCCGGAAACGGGCGCUAAUACCGCAUACGUCCUGAGGGAGAAAGUGGGGGAUCUUCGGACCUCACGCUAUCAGAUGAGCCUAGGUCGGAUUAGCUAGUUGGUGGGGUAAAGGCCUACCAAGGCGACGAUCCGUAACUGGUCUGAGAGGAUGAUCAGUCACACUGGAACUGAGACACGGUCCAGACUCCUACGGGAGGCAGCAGUGGGGAAUAUUGGACAAUGGGCGAAAGCCUGAUCCAGCCAUGCCGCGUGUGUGAAGAAGGUCUUCGGAUUGUAAAGCACUUUAAGUUGGGAGGAAGGGCAGUAAGUUAAUACCUUGCUGUUUUGGCGUUACCAACAGAAUAAGCACCGGCUAACUUCGUG
rnacentral:rRNA from 1 species